UACGUAGGUGGCAAGCGUUGUCCGGAAUCACUGGGCGUAAAGCGCGCGCAGGCGGCGAUCUACGUCUGGGGUGAAAGCCCGGAGCUCAACUCCGGGACUGCCUUGGAUACGGGAUCGCUUGAGGAUUGGAGAGGCAAGGGGAAUUCCACGUGUAGCGGUGAAAUGCGUAGAUAUGUGGAGGAACACCUGUGGCGAAGGCGCCUUGCGGGCCAAUUUCUGACGCUGAGGCGCGAAAGCGUGGGGAGCAAACAGG
rnacentral:rRNA from 1 species